GCCGGAAGGAGGCGCUACCCGCUGGCUAGCCAGUAGCCAGUCAUCUCAGCGCCAGCGCCAGCGCCCGAGCUGCGAGCUCUACGCUUCUACCUCUACCUCCACGCUCCACCACGCCUCCUACCUAACCGAUCGAAACAAACCCGCCCGCCGCCUGCUCGUCUUGCCGCGGGUCGCGCGCAGAAACGCUAGCGCUGGUUUGCCCACCACAGACAGACACACCGCGGCGGCCAUCAUGGCGGCGAGCGCGAGGGGGGGCGUGUGGGAGAUCCAGCCCGGCGACGUGGGCGCCGCGGGGCUCGGCGCGGCGGACGCGGGCGCGUUCCUCGCCGCGCUCCACUCCGCCGCGGCCGCGGCCGGCCCGGGAGCCGCCGGGGACGCCGUGUGGGCGGCGGUGGCGGCCGCGGGGGUGCUGCGGCCGGAGCACCCGCACGCGCUGCACCAGCUCGUCUACUACUCCGUCUACGCCGGGUGGGACCGCGCCGCCCGGGGCCCGCCGCCGUACUGGUUCCCGUCACCGAUUGACAGUAGACAAACGAACCUUGGGAGGUUGAUGGAAGCAAACGGGCCUAAGCUGUUAGGGCCAGCAUACAAGGACCCGAUAACAAGUUUUAAUCUCUUUUACAAGUUCUCCGUAGAGAACCAAGAGGUCUACUGGUCAAUGGUGCUAAAGCAGCUCGCAGUCAAGUUCCAACAAGAACCAAAGUCGAUUCUAAGUACAUCAGAUAGAUCAAAGAGAGGGGGGACAUGGCUUCAAGAUGCAGUGCUCAACAUUGCCGAGUGUUGUCUGCUCCCUUGCCCUUCCCUGAACAGGACAGAUGACAGUACAGCUAUUGUUUGGAGGGAUGAAGGCCAUGAUGAUCAUCCAGUGAACCGUAUGUCACUGAAAGAACUUCGCAGUCAAGUGAUAACUGUUGCAAAUGCCUUGGAUACCAUGUUCCACAAAGGGGAUCGGAUCGCAAUAGACAUGCCUAUGACAUGCAAUGCAGUCAUCAUAUAUCUGGCGAUCAUCCUUGGUGGCUUUGUUGUUGUGUCAAUAGCAGAUAGUUUUGCACCACAGGAGAUUGGUACUCGCAUGGGUGUUUCAAAAGCAAAGGCAAUUUUUACUCAGGAUUUCAUUAUUAGAGGAGGGAAGAAAGUUCCACUUUACAGCCGUGUCGUGCAAGGGUCUUCAUCUAAAGCUGUUGUGAUUCCUGCAACCGGAGACUAUCUUGGAGUUACACUGAGGAAUGGUGAUAUGUCCUGGAAAGAUUUUCUUUGUCGUGCUUCUGGAAGGUCAUCUAUCUAUUCUCCAGUUUAUCAGUCUGUGGAUGCGCUAACUAAUAUACUAUUUUCUUCAGGAACAACUGGGGAGCCAAAGGCUAUACCAUGGACACAACUUUCUCCCAUAAGAUGUGCAGCUGAUACGUGGGCCCAUAUGGAUGUUCGUCCACAGGACAUAGGUUGCUGGCCUACUAAUCUGGGCUGGGUUAUGGGACCUAUAAUCCUGUACGCAUGCUUUCUUAAUGGUGCGACUUUGGCUUUAUAUCAUGGAUCUCCACUUGGACGUGAUUUCUGCAAAUUUGUACAGGAUGCAGGUGUGACUUUAUUAGGAAGUGUGCCUAGCUUGGUGAAGUCAUGGAAAGCUGGGAACUGUGCUAAAGGGCUUGACUGGACCAAACUCAGGGUACUAGGCACCACAGGGGAGGCUUCUGAUAUUGAUGAUAAUCUGUGGCUAACUUCACACACCUCAUACAAGCCCAUUGUUGAAUGCUGUGGGGGCACGGAGUUGGCAUCCUCAUACAUUCAAGGUAGUCUUUUGCAACCGCAAGCCUUCGGCGCUUUUAGUGGUGCAUCAAUGUCCACUGGGUUUGUCAUACUUGAUGAACAGGGAACUCCGUAUCCUGACGAUGUACCUUGUGCUGGAGAAGUGGGUCUCUUCCCUCUGCAUUUUGGCGCUACAAAUUGGCUUCUCAAUGCUGACCAUGACAAGGUUUACUUUGAUGGCAUGCCCAUUUACAAUGGAAGGCAACUCCGACGACAUGGAGAUAUAAUCCAGAGGACAGUAGGUGGGUAUUAUAUUGUACAGGGCAGAGCAGAUGACACCAUGAACCUUGGAGGAAUUAAGACAAGUUCAGUGGAGAUAGAAAGGGUAUGCAAUAGAGCCGAUGAAAGACUUCUAGAAACAGCUGCCGUUAGCAUCAAACCUGCUGGUGGGGGACCAGAACAUCUGGCAAUCUUAGCAGUGCUGAAAGAUAGAUCGGCCCAAUACGAUGUAAAUCUUCUCAAGAGCAAGUUCCAGAGAGCCAUCCAGAAGAACCUCAAUCCUCUUUUCAAGUGCUCAAUGUUGCUGAAUGUUUUCUGCUGAAUGGUGCUACCUUGUCCUUCCCUGAAGGGGACUGAUGACAGCACAGCUAUGGUCUGGAGGAUUGUUGCUGCAGAUGGCCUGGGGCAUGUUUCAGAAAGGGGAUGGUUAGCAAAGGCUAACAGAUAUGCCUACAGCAUACAUUGCAAUCAUCUUCUAUUUGGUUAUUAAUCGUGCCUUUGUUGUUGUGCUGAUAGCAAUAAUUUUUGCAUCUCAGGAAAUAGGAUAUUAGGUGAGACAUUAACAAGCCUCGCAUGACACAGCCACUAGUAGUAAGUUUCACAAGAUUUCAGGGCUUAACUUUCUUUGUUUUGUUAAGAUCUUUUGUUCUGAUAACUUAAUUUCAUCCUUUUUAACGAAAAAAUAGCGCUCCAUGUCCUCACAAACUUAUGGCUUAAUUGGUAAACCUUUUAGCUUUCAAUGAAUUAGAACCCAUCCUGUGAAAUGAAUAUUUUGCAUUGUUUUCGGAAUUAGCUCUUAACGUAAUAGUUCUCAGUAUACAGUAAAAUAGCACAUAGAUUACAAUAGUUUUUCUUCUGCCAUGCUAUGCAACUGUGCAAAGGACUCAUCUAAAGAAAUUGCAGUUCCUGCAAGUGAAGGUUGUCUUGGAGUUACACUGAGGAAUGACAAUAUCUCCUGGAAAGGUUUUCUUUAUUGGGCUGGUGGAAGGUAUGAUGUAUGUAGUAGGUUAAGUCUAAUCACUCCCUUCUCAUAUAGAAAUACACUAGAAUACGAGCUUAGAUGGCUUUAUGCAUCUUAUGCUUCAUAAUACAGAACACCACUGCGCAAAAGGAAAGUAAUUUUGUUAGAGAUGUUUCUAUUUUCUUCAGGACAAUUGAUGUACGGCCGAUACGUGGGCACAUUUGGAUAUUCGAUUGCAGGAAAUAUUUUGCUGGCCUACAAAGCUGAGUUGGGUUAUGGGACCUGCAACCUUGUACUCAUUUUUUUCGCAACCUUGUACUCAUGCUUCAGAAACAGCAGCUGUUAGCAUCAAACCCGUUGGUAGGAGGCCAGAACAGCUGGCUAUCUUGAUAUUGCUGAAAUAAAAAUAAAAAGAAAAAAGAAAAAUCGCUGCAAUACUGUAUAACUAUCCCUAAGAUCAAGCUUUAGAGAGCCAUUCAGAAGAAUCUCAAUCCUCUUUUCAAGGUAAGAGUCUUUUGUUUUCUGUUGUUAAGGUCAAACGGCAGGUUAGCCAUGUCAAAGUUGUUCCCAAGUUCCUGCAAAGUACUUCGAAUAAGCUGCUGUGAUAAGGGUCCUGAGGGAUCAGCUGAAGCAGGAACUCUCAAAUCACAGAAAAAUCAUGGAGCACGAAAUGCGUGGAGCACUAAAUUAAAGAUGCUUGUGUUGGUAAAUAAAAUGGGCAUCCACAUGUGUUGUGCUACCUACCAUCCACUUGAUACUGGACCCUGAACUUCUUGUGUUCCGAGGCCGUGCUUGUACUGCAGAACAGCAUCCAUAUCCUGACUUUUAUGCACACCAGGCCUGGAAAAAUGCCUACUACAAGACGGCUAAAUUGACUAGUGCGAAGCUCAGUUGACAGAAGAGCACGAGCCAAAAAUCAUUCUUGUGCACGUCAAAGCUGAAGGAGUCAAGAUUCAAGGCGCACAUUGUUUUGCCCCCUUGUUCCUUGCUGCCAUGCACCGGUACAUGUGAUGUUUUCCAAGCGUGGGAUUUCUUUUUCUUUUUGAUGCCACGGUAUGUGUAAUGCAGCGGCUGAAGUACCAAACCGCAUGCGGACUUUUUUUUUUCUCCAUCGUCAUGAAUUGUAAUGGCAGAUUUGAAAACUACUAAAAUUUGUGGUGGCGUGGAUCUAAUGAACCCUUUUUAAGUU